rnacentral:rRNA from 1 species
UGAGCAUUUCAAAUAUUAGAUGUAAAAUUAUUGUAACAUAAAUAAAUUAAAAAAUUUAGGUAGUGGUGAAACGCCUAUCAUUUUUAUUGAUAACUGGAUUAAAAGAAAAUAUAUCAAGUAUAAAAGACAAUUUUAAAACGAUAAGGUUUUAAAAAAAAUGAAUAAUAAAUAUAAUUUAAUUUAUUAUCUAGUAAAACUAUUUAAUAUACAAGUCAAAAUAAAACUUAAUCUAUAUAAACAUCACUAGGCACCCUUUUAUGUGAUUUAAAAUAAAACUUCCCAUUAAUAAUGUAGCAAUUAGUAAGUAUUAUAAGUAUUACUAAGGAACUCGACAAAUAUUUUGUACAACUGUUUAUCAAAAACAUAACCAUAAGCAUAUUUUUAUGGUGACGUCCGCCCAGUGAUAUAUUUUUAACGGCCGCAGUACUUUGACUGUGCAAAGGUAGCAUAAUAACUUGGCUUUUAAUUGGAGUCUGGAAUGAGAGAAGUAAUGUAUAAAAAUUGUCUCAAACUCUAUGAUACUAAAAUUAUUUAAGAAGUGAAAAUACUUCUAUGUGUAAUAAAAGACGAGAAGACCCUUAGAAUUUUUACUAAAUAAUUAAAUUAUUAAUUAUCCGUUUUAGUUGGGGCAACUCUAUUUCAUGUAAAAUAAAUAGUAAAUAGUUGAUAUAUCUACCGAUUUAAAUAAAUAAAAAUAAAUUACCUAAGGGAUAACAGCAUAAUUUUAUUAGUUAAGAUUGUGA